rnacentral:rRNA from 1 species
GACGAACCCGUGCGAACGUUGUUCGGAAUCACUGGGCUUAAAGGGCGCGUAGGCGGCUGUUCAAGUCCGGGGUGAAAGCCUCCAGCUCAACUGGAGAAGUGCCUUGGAUACUGGACGGCUUGAGUGAGGUAGGGGCAGCUGGAACUUCCGGUGGAGCGGUGAAAUGCGUUGAUAUCGGAAGGAACGCCGGUGGCGAAAGCGAGCUGCUGGACCUCUUCUGACGCUGAGGCGCGAAAGCUAGGGUAGCGAACGGGAUUAGAACCUACGAGU